UCUGCCGGCGAGCGGCGGACGGGUGAGUAAAGUCUGGGGAUCUGGCUUAUGGAGGGGGAUAACCAUUGGAAACGGUAGCUAAUACCGCAUGAUGUCGCAAGACCAAAGUGGGGGACCUUAAGGCCUCACGCCAUGAGAUGAACCCAGAUGAGAUUAGCUAGUAGGUGCGGUAAUAGCGUACCUAGGCGACGAUCUCUAGCUGGUCUGAGAGGAUGACCAGCCACACUGGAACUGAGAGACGGUCCAGACUCCUACGGGAGGCAGCAGUGGGGAAUAUUGCACAAUAGGCGGAAGCCUGAUGCAGCCAUGCCGCGUGUGUGAAGAAGGCCUUAGGGUUGUAAAGCACUUUCAGCGGGGAGGAAGGCGGUAAGAGUAAUAUGCUUAUCGAUUGACGUUACCCGCAAAAGAAGCACCGGCUAACUCCGUGCCAGCAGCCGCGGUAAUACGGAGGGUGCGAGCGUUAAUCGGAAUAACUGGGCGUAAAGGGCAUGUAGGCGGUAAGUUAAGUCAGAUGUGAAAUCCCCGAGCUUAACUUGGGAACGGCAUUUGAGACUGGCUGGCUAGAGUUUUGUAGAGGGGGGUAGAAUUCCAGGUGUAGCGGUGAAAUGCGUAGAGAUCUGGAGGAAUACCGGUGGCGAAGGCGGCCCCCUGGACAAGGACUGACGCUGAGGUGCGAAAGCGUAGGUAGCAAACAGGAUUAGAUACCCUGGUAGUCCACGCUGUAAACGAUGUCGAUUUGGAGGUUGUGGCCUAGUGUUAUGACGUCCGAAGCUAACGCGAUAAAUCGACCGCCUGGGGAGUACGGCCGCAAGGUUAAAACUCAAAUGAAUUGACGGGGGCCCGCACAAGCGGUGGAGCAUGUGGUUUAAUUCGAUGCAACGCGAAGAACCUUACCUACUCUUGACAUCCACGGAAUUUGGCAGAGAUGCUUAAGUGCCUUCGGGAGCCGUGAGACAGGUGCUGCAUGGCUGUCGUCAGCUCGUGUUGUGAAAUGUUGGGUUAAGUCCCGCAACGAGCGCAACCCUUGUCCUUUGUUGCCAGCGCGUAGUGGUGGGAACUCAAAGGAGACUGCCGGUGAUAAACCAGAGGAAGGUGAGGAUGACGUCAAGUCAUCAUGGCCCUUACGAGUAGGGCUACACACGUGCUACAAUGGCGCAUACAAAAAGCGGCGAGCGUGCGAACGUAAGCGAACCUCAUAAAGUGCGUCGUAGUCCGGAUUGGAGUCUGCAACUCGACUCCAUGAAGUCGGAAUCGCUAGUAAUCGUGGAUCAGAAUGCCACGGUGAAUACGUUCCCGGGCCUUGUACACACCGCCCGUCACACCAUGGGAGUGGGCGGCAAAAGAAGUAGGUAGCUUAACCUUCGGGGGGGCGCUUACCACUUUGUGGUUCAUGACUGGGGUGAAGUCGUAACAAGGUA
rnacentral:rRNA from 1 species